AGAAGCUUUUAUUUCUCUUCCAGGUUCUCUUGGUUAUUUUUUUCCUUCUAGUCUCAGCCAUGGCUGCAAGGAACGUGGAAAGGACUGCCAAUACUUAUGAGAAAGCUGCAAGGGAGCUCAUUUAUAAACCUCAAAAGGAGGAUGAUCCUUGGGGGCAUGGUUAUAUCCCUCCAGUUACUAAACCAGAUCGAACAUAAUCUACUGCUAGCUAGUCAGCCUGCUGAUCAUACGUAUUGAUGUAUCAAAUAAUGUCAUUGUCUAGUACCGAGUGAAUAAAACAAAAGCUAAUGCUUCAGCAUUUAGCUUCUUGGUCCA